rfam:Triticum aestivum genome assembly, contig: Triticum_aestivum_CS42_TGACv1_scaffold_694102_T_2BS-0.276390_2AL-0.159910
CCAGUUGGCGAGGAUGAGCUCAUCUCGUUUAUCCUUGCUGGCCUCGAUAUGGACUACACCCCAUUAGUCUCUGCCCUUGAUGCGCAGACUACUCCUGUAUCUCUUGAUGCUCUCUAUGGACAGAUGGCGAAUUUCGAUC